rfam:Oryza barthii chromosome 4, whole genome shotgun sequence.
ACUGUAUGACGCCGUUGACUUUUUUUAUCAACGUUUGACCAUUUGUCUUAUUUGAAAACUUUAUGUAAUUAUCAUUUAUUUUAUUGUGGCUUGAUUUAUCAUCAAAUGAUAUUUAAGCAUGACAUAAAUAUUUUUGUAUUUGCACAAAAAAUUUUAAAUAAGACGAAUGGUCAAACGUUGGUCAAAAAGUCAACGGUGUCAUACAUU